rnacentral:rRNA from 1 species
GAUGAACGCUGGCGGCGUGCCUAAUACAUGCAAGUCGAGCGAACGGACGAGAAGCUUGCUUUUCUGAUGUUAGCGGCGGACGGGUGAGUAACACGUGGAUAACCUACCUAUAAGACUGGGAUAACUUCGGGAAACCGGAGCUAAUACCGGAUAAUAUUUUGAACCGCAUGGUUCAAAAGUGAAAGACGGUCUUGCUGUCACUUAUAGAUGGAUCCGCGCUGCAUUAGCUAGUUGGUAAGGUAACGGCUUACCAAGGCAACGAUGCAUAGCCGACCUGAGAGGGUGAUCGGCCACACUGGAACUGAGACACGGUCCAGACUCCUACGGGAGGCAGCAGUAGGGAAUCUGCCGCAAUGGGCGAAAGCCUGACGGAGCAACGCCGCGUGAGUGAUGAAGGUCUUCGGAUCGUAAAACGCUGUUAUUAGGGAAGAACAUAUGUGUAAGUAACUGUGCACAUCUUGACGGUACCUAAUCAGAAAGCCACGGCGAACUACGU